UCAUCCGCUUCUCCACAUCCUCGCAUUCUCACACAUUCUUUUUUUCUCUUCGUGCACUAUCAACUCACGUCUUUCGUGUUUCUUUCUUUCUGUCUCGCUCGCACAACAACCGGAGUGCAUGUGGUAUGCAGGACCAAUGAGGGGGAAACAACUAUAUUUUUUUUUAAAGGAGGUUGAAACCUUUGGCCUCUGCAUCAAAAUGAUGCACACAUCCAUUUAGGACAUGUGGAUCGGUCACUUAGGAUGGAAAGUACGUGCCAUGAUGCCACUCCCUAAAAUGAAACUCAUUUUAUAAAGGACAGAACACCCAUCUUUCUUACUCAUCCACUCCGCCUCUAUCACCACAUUCAACUAGAACGAAGCCCAACACAAGAAGUAAAAAGGUUCA
rnacentral:lncRNA from 1 species